ACAUAACUGAUGCCUCCGCGUAUCGACUUUGUGCGCAUUUUAGCUAUUAUGUGUUCUUUUAAUUAAAAUGAUUCUUUUUAAGAUUCAUCUAUUAAAAAUUUGCUUCGGCAUAAUUUUUUUUGAUGAUCUUGUUACUUUGAGUAAAUUAGAGUGUUCAAAGCAAACAGAUAUAGCAUUUGUGCGUUUGAAUACUACAGCAUGGAAUAACAAAAUUGAACAAGUCAGAAUUUUUUUGUUCUUUUUUCUUAUUUUGGCUUAGUUACGAUUAAUAGGAGUAGCUUGGGGGCAUUUGUAUUCAGAUGUCAGAGGUGAAAUUCUUAGAUUUUCUGGAGACAAACAACUGCGAAAGCAUUUGCCUAAAAUACUUCCAUUAAUCAAGAACGAAAGUUAAGGGAGUGAAGACGAUCAGAUACCGUCGUAAUCUUAACCAUAAACUAUGCCGACUAGGCUUUGGAUGAAAGAUUUUAAAAUAAGAGUUUUCCUUUUCUCUCCGGAGAUUAGAACUCUUAGAUUGCUUCCUUCAGUGCCUUAUGAGAAAUCAAAGUCUUUGGGUUCUGGGGCGAGUAUUCGCGCAAGCGAGAAAGUUAAAAGAAUUGACGGAAGGGCACCACCAGGCGUGGAGCUUGCGGCUUAAUUUGACUCAACACGGGAAAACUCACUAGUUUAAGACAAGAGUAGGAUUGACAGAUUAAUAGCUCUUUCUUGAUUUCUUGGAUGGUGAUGCAUGGUCGUUUUUAGUUCGUGAAUAUGAUUUGUCUGGUUAAUUCCGAUAACGAACGAGAUCUUAACCUGCUAAUUAGCGGCAAAUACGAUAUAUUCUUAUGUAGAAUUGAAUAUAGUGGAUUUGUUGGAUUUUGAAGAAAAUAUUGGAAUUACGUUAAAUGUGAUUCCUUUCCCUUUUCUACUUAAUUUACAUUUCCAUCUAUUUCUUUUUUGCGUAUGAAUGUAUUUGCUUGAUUGUAAAGCUUCUUAGAGGAACGAUGUGUG
rnacentral:rRNA from 1 species